rnacentral:rRNA from 1 species
GGAAAGCGGCGGACGGGUGAGUAACGCGUAGGCAACCUGCCUCUCACAGGGGGAUAGCCUCGGGAAACCGGGAUUAAUACCAUAUAACAUUGCGACGAAGCAUUUCGAUGCAAUCAAAGCUACGGCGGUAAGAGAUGGGCUCGCGUCCCAUUAACCGGAUGGUGAGGUAACGGCUCACCAUAGUAACGAUGGGUAACCGGCCUGAGAGGGUGAACGGUCACACUGGAACUGAGACACGGUCCAGACUCC